AGUGAACGCUGGCGGUAGGCCUAACACAUGCAAGUCGAACGGCAGCACAGUAAGAGCUUGCUCUUACGGGUGGCGAGUGGCGGACGGGUGAGGAAUACAUCGGAAUCUACUUUUUCGUGGGGGAUAACGUAGGGAAACUUACGCUAAUACCGCAUACGACCUACGGGUGAAAGCAGGGGAUCUUCGGACCUUGCGCGAUUGAAUGAGCCGAUGUCGGAUUAGUUAGUUGGCGGGGUAAAGGCCCACCAAGGCGACGAUCCGUAGCUGGUCUGAGAGGAUGAUCAGCCACACUGGAACUGAGACACGGUCCAGACUCCUACGGGAGGCAGCAGUGGGGAAUAUUGGACAAUGGGCGCAAGCCUGAUCCAGCCAUACCGCGUGGGUGAAGAAGGCCUUCGGGUUGUAAAGCCCUUUUGUUGGGAAAGAAAAGCAGCAGGUUAAUACCCCGCUGUUAUGACGGUACCCAAAGAAUAAGCACCGGCUAACUUCGUG
rnacentral:rRNA from 1 species